rnacentral:misc_RNA from 1 species
UGUUCUCAUCAAUCCUGAUUGCAACCUCCCCUUGCUGAGAAACCAAAGUAGCAAGCUGAUUAAAAAUGCUGCCCAGCUCAUGGAUAGUAGACUCGACAUUUUGUAGAGCUUCGGCUCUACUCUGCAUGUAGCUGUCUUGCAAUGGAACUAUCUGCUGCUGCUGCUGUUGUUGUUGAUCCUGCAACAAUGGCUGUGUGUCUCCAUCACCUUGCUUCCUUGGAAAUAACUGAGAAGAAGAAGGUGAAUCAUUAGCCCAAGGAGGAGGGCUGGCUGAUGUACUAGCAGUAUUCCUUGAAGCUAGUGGACGUUGGCGCAUAAAUGGAUUUGAAGCUUCUUUGCUAGUCGAUGAAGAAAACAUCUGUCUUCUGUUCUCAUGAACCUUCAUAUUCUCUGUCCGCAUGGUGAGUACUUCUUUGAACUCCUUUGUGGCAGUCAUCAGCCUGUUCUUCAAGUCAUCUACAACAGUCGUCGAGUGACUAGUGGUAUCACUAUUACCACUUUCAUUACGAGCAUUAGAGUGAAGCUGGAGAUCUACUACAGCAGAGUUAAGUGCUGUAAUAUCUUGCUUGAUGACUGCAGUCAACUCUUGGAUUUCCGUAGUCGGAUCAUCAAAAACGGAAGUCCUUUUUGCCAACUUUGCUAGCUUUGCAAGCUUCUGAGAAGUUUGAUGUAUUCCAAAACCAAUUUUGGAGGCUCGCCGAUUGAACUCCGAUUGCAUAGCAAUAGUGGUCCUCUGUUCCUCCGAUCUAGAACCACUGCUGGUGCUGGUGCUAAUCGACCCAUUCUGAACCGACGAAAAUGACUUCUUUAACCUCUCCGCUAUACUCUGAAACUCCUGAGUCCGAUCCCGUAAUGACGCACUUGCUACUUUCACAGGCAUUUUCAAUAAUAAUCUCCGCAAAUUAUAAUUUUCAAUACACUAACAAAUCGAUCCGAUAUCAAGUCGAUCUAUGCUCCACGAUUAUCAUAAACAUAGAGAAUUUCACAUCCGCAUUCAAAAAACCGAUUGGAUCUGAAGAACCCUAGAACUGCGAGAUCCAGAAAUCUUCUCCGACGAAGGUGAGAAUGAUGAAAACCCUAGAUCUUGCGUAGAGAGAUUAAGUAAUUGUUCGAUCUGUAGGGGAUUGAAGGAUUUGCAGAUCAGAUGAGGAACGUUGAGGGGAGGAAGGAGCCCAUUUGAUCCGAAAAACGAUUCAGA